rnacentral:rRNA from 1 species
CAUGUCCUUUUGACUAUAAUUUAAGGUUUAAUCUGCUCAAUGAGGAUUUAAAUUGCCGCGGUAUUUUGACCGUGCAAAGGUAGCAUAAUAAUUAGUUUUUUUAUUGAAAGCUGGAAUGAAUGAUUGGACGAGAAAAUUACUGUCUCUUUUUUAUUUAUUUUUGAAUUUAACUUUUGAGUAAAAAGGCUCAAAUUUUUUUUAUAGACGAGAAGACCCUAUAGAGUUUAAUAAUUAGUAUUUAUUAAUUUUUUGGUAUUUAAGUAGUUAGUAUUUUAUAGAUUAUUUAGUUGGGGUGACUGGAAGAUUAAAUAAACUCUUCUGUUUAAAAUCAAUGAUUUUUGAAUAUAUAAUCUGAUUUUUUCAAAUUUAAUAUAAAUUACCUUAGGGAUAACAGCGUAAUUUCUUUUUAGAGUUCUUAUUAAAAGAGAAGUUUGCGACCUCGAUGUUGGAUUAAAAUUUAUUUCUGGUGCAGAAGCUAGAAUAUUGAGUCUGUUCGACUUUUAAAAUUUUACAUGAUCUGAGU